AUUUUAAUGUAUUAGGUUGGAGCAAAAAUAAUUGCAAUUUUUGGCCUUACUUUCAUUGGCAAAAACCACAAUUACUUUUGCACCAAUCUAAAUACUU
rnacentral:miRNA from 10 species